rnacentral:rRNA from 1 species
UACGGAGGGUGCAAGCGUUACUCGGAAUCACUGGGCGUAAAGCGCGCGCAGGCGGCCUUUUAAGUUGGAUGUGAAAGCCUAUGGCUCAACCAUAGAACUGCAUCCAAAACUAUUAGGCUAGAGUCUGGGAGGGGAAGAUGGAAUUAGUUGUGUAGGGGUAAAAUCCGUAGAGAUAACUAGGAAUACCAAAAGCGAAGGCGAUCUUCUGGAACAGUACUGACGCUGAGGCGCGAAAGCGUGGGGAGCAAACAGGAUUAGAUACCCUGGUAGUCCACGCCCUAAACGAUGAAUGUUAGUCGUCGGAGGCCUAGUGUCUUCGGUGAUGCAGCUAACGCAUUAGACAUUCCGCCUGGGGAGUACGGUCGCAAGAUUAAAACUCAAAGGAAUAGACGGGGACCCGCACAAGUGGUGGAGCAUGUGGUUUAAUUCGAAGAUACGCGAAGAACCUUACCUAGCCUUGACAUUGAGAGAACCUGCCAGAGAUGGCGGGGUGCCCUUCGGGGAGCUCGAAAACAGGUGCUGCACGGCUGUCGUCAGCUCGUGUCGUGAGAUGUUGGGUUAAGUCCCGCAACGAGCGCAACCCUCGUCCUUAGUUGCCAGCAGUUCGGCUGGGCACUCUAAGGAGACUGCCUUCGUAAGGAGGAGGAAGGUGAGGACGACGUCAAGUCAUCAUGGCCCUUAUGGCUAGGGCUACACACGUGCUACAAUGGGGCGUACAGAGUG